UGGGGAAUAUUGGACAAUGGGGGCAACCCUGAUCCAGCAAUGCCGCGUGUGUGAAGAAGGUCUUCGGAUUGUAAAGCACUUUCGACGGGGACGAUGAUGACGGUACCCGUAGAAGAAGCCCCGGCUAACUUCGUGCCAGCAGCCGCGGUAAUACGAAGGGGGCUAGCGUUGCUCGGAAUGACUGGGCGUAAAGGGCGUGUAGGCGGUUUACACAGUCAGAUGUGAAAUCCCCCGGGCUUAACCUGGGAGCUGCAUUUGAUACGUGUAGACUAGAGUGUGAGAGAGGGUUUGUGGAAUUCCCAGUGUAGAGGUGAAAUUCGU
rnacentral:rRNA from 1 species